rnacentral:rRNA from 1 species
UACGUAGGGCGCAAGCGUUGUCCGGAAUUAUUGGGCGUAAAGAGCUCGUAGGCGGCUUGUCGCGUCGACUGUGGAAAACUCGCAGCUCAACUGCGAGCCUGCGGUCGAUACGGGCAGACUAGAGUGCGGUAGGGGAGAUUGGAAUUCCUGGUGUAGCGGUGGAAUGCGCCAGAUAUCAGGAGGAACACCGAGUGGCGAAAGGCAGAUCUCUGGGCCGUAACUGACGCUGAGGAGCGAAAGCAUGGGAGCGAACAGG